rnacentral:piRNA from 1 species
UCNCAUAACUCCGGCCUACUUCCUACUC